GCGAGUAUAACUCCUAAAACCAUUGUGAACGAACAGCUCAGUUGCUUCGGCGGGCGGCUCUAGAGGCUUUGCCUGUAAGUAUCCCGCCGGAGGAAUGCAAACUCUUAUUAUUAUUUCUCUGAGUAUAUUAUUUAAUAAGUUA
rnacentral:misc_RNA from 1 species